UCAAUAACGCCUCCAGUGGCCUCCUGCAGGCCGUCCACGAAGACCUCAAUGGUUCCCUGGACCACAUCGACAGCAAUGGGAACAGCAGUCCGGGCUGCUCACCUCAGCCACACAUACAUUCAAUCCAUGUCAAAGAAGAACCUGUGAUUGCAGAGGAUGAAGACUGUCCAAUGUCUUUAGUGACGACAGCCAAUCACAGUCCGGAGCUAGAAGAUGACAGAGAGAUUGAGGAAGAGCCUUUAUCUGAGGACCUGGAAUGAGGAUGAACUUGUGACACGUCAGUGUGAAGGGACAUAUCACUGACCUUCAUAACCACUCCACAACCAUGAAUAGUUGACACAUCUUUACUGUGACUGUUUAUUACGCAUGGAUGAAGGAGACAGCCCUAAAGGAACUUACUAAGCCAGCCCUUUGGGAUUCAGAACCAACAGGCAAAUUGCUUGUUUUCUUCUCUUUCUGUCGUUAUUUUUGUUUGUUUGUUUGUUUGAUUUUUACUUUCUUUUCUUUUUUUUCCUUUUUUUUCUUUUUUAGAAAAAAGAAGGCAAAAAACUGAUUUUCUUGGGAAAAAAAAAGAAAGAACUGUUCUUUCUAUAACGGCUCUGCCCAUUUAAAAAAUGUGGCUCUUAAGGGUUCAUGAAAUGACUGAGUAUGAGGAUACAUGUCCUAUAGAAAGCAACUGCGCCUCAUACACUGCCAAAAAUAGUGUUAGUUUCAUUAAUGUGA
rnacentral:lncRNA from 1 species